GACAGAGGUGCCAAGCGUUAGGCGGAAUCACUGGGCUUAAAGCGUGUGUAGGCGGAUGCCUAAGUACCUUGUGAAAUCCCACGGCUCAACCGUGGAACUGCUGGGUAUACUGGGCGUCUUGGGUCACCUAGGGGUUGCCGGAACAAAUGGUGGAGCGGUGAAAUGCGUAGAUAUCAUUUGGAACGCCAACGGCGAAAGCAGGCAACUGGGGGGUGUACCGACGCUGAGACACGAAAGCCAGGGGAGCGAACGGGG
rnacentral:rRNA from 1 species